rnacentral:rRNA from 1 species
GUGUGCCGUUGGUAGUCUCAGAGAGUUGAUCUGGCUCAGGACGAACGCUGGCGGCGUGCUUAACACAUGCAAGUCGAGCGGAAAGGCCCUUCGGGGUACUCGAGCGGCGAACGGGUGAGUAACACGUGAGUAAUCUGCCCUUAGCUCUGGGAUAGCUCCGGGAAACCGGGAUUAAUACCGGAUACGACCACUACGGACAUCUGUUUUGGUGGAAAGAAUUUCGGCUAGGGAUGAGCUCGCGGCCUAUCAGCUUGUUGGUGGGGUAACGGCCUACCAAGGCGACGACGGGUAGCCGGCCUGAGAGGGCGACCGGCCACACUGGGACUGAGACACGGCCCAGACUCCUACGGGAGGCAGCAGUGGGGAAUAUUGCGCAAUGGGCGAAAGCCUGACGCCAGCGACGCCGCGUGGGGGAUGAAGGCCUUCGGGUUGUAAACCCCUUUCAGCAGGGACGAAGCGAAAGUGACGGUACCUGCAGAAGAAGCGCCGGCUAACUACGUGCCAGCCGCUGC